rnacentral:rRNA from 1 species
UGACCGCUGGCGGCGUGCCUACUACAUGCACGUCGAGCGAACAGACGAGGAGCUUGCUCCUCUGACGUUAGCGGCGGACGGGUGAGUAACACGUGGAUAACCUACCUAUAAGACUGGGAUAACUUCGGGAAACCGGAGCUAAUACCGGAUAAUAUAUUGAACCGCAUGGUUCAAUAGUGAAAGACGGUUUUGCUGUCACUUAUAGAUGGAUCCGCGCCGCAUUAGCUAGUUGGUAAGGUAACGGCUUACCAAGGCAACGAUGCGUAGCCGACCUGAGAGGGUGAUCGGCCACACUGGAACUGAGACACGGUCCAGACUCCUACGGGAGGCAGCAGUAGGGAAUCUUCCGCAAAGGGCGAAAGCUUGACGGAGCAACGCCGCGUGAGUGAUGAAGGUCUUCGGAUCGUAAAACUCUGUUAUUAGGGAAGAACAAAUGUGUAAGUAACUAUGCACGUCUUGACGGUACCUAAUCAGAAAGCCACGGCUAACUACGUG